GAUGAACGCUGGCGGCGUGCUUAACACAUGCAAGUCGAACGAGAAGUGAAGACGGAACCCUUCGGGCGGAAGGCUUUAUUUCGAGUGGCGGACGGGUGAGUAACGCGUGGGUAACCUGCCUCAUACAGGGGGAUAACAGUUUGAAACGACUGUUAAUACCGCAUAAGACCACAGCACCGCAUGGUGCGGGGGUAAAAACUCCGGUGGUAUGAGAUGGACCCGCGUUCGAUUAGCCAGUUGGCGGGGUAACGGCCCACCAAAGCGACGAUCGAUAGCCGAUCUGAGAGGAUGACCAGCCACAUUGGGACUGAGACACGGCCCAAACUCCUACGGGAGGCAGCAGUGGGGAAUAUUGCACAAUGGGGGAAACCCUGAUGCAGCGACGCCGCGUGAGUGAAGAAGUAUUUCGGUAUGUAAAGCUCUAUCAGCAGGGAAGAAAAUGACGGUACCUGAGUAAGAAGCCCCGGCUAACUACGUG
rnacentral:rRNA from 1 species